GACGAACGCUGGCGGCGUGCUUAACACAUGCAAGUGGAGCGACGAACCGGGGCUUGCCCCGGGGCAGAGCCGCGAACGGGUGAGUAACACGUGGGUAACCUACCCCGAUGACCGGGACAACCCGAGGAAACUCGGGCUAAUACCGGAUGAUCCCUUUCACCCUGAGGUGACCGAGUAAAGAUAGCUUCGGCCUUCGCAUCGGGACGGGCCCGCGGCCCAUUAGCUUGUUGGUGGGGGAACGGCCUACCAAGGCGACGAUGGGUAGCUGGUCUGAGAGGACGAUCAGCCACACUGGGACUGAGACACGGCCCAGACUCCUACGGGAGGCUGCAGUGGGGAAUCUUGCACAAUGCGCGAAAGCGUGAUGCAGCAACGCCGCGUGGGGGAAGAAGGCCUUCGGGUUGUAAACCCCUUUCAGUUGGGACGAAGCUUCGCCGGUGAAUAGCCGGCUGGAGUGACGGUACCUUCACAAGAAGCCCCGGCUAACUACGUGCCAGCCGCCGCUGUAACAC
rnacentral:rRNA from 1 species